AGCCUCUGGACCUGUGUCUGCCCAGACUUACCUCAGUGAUGGAGUGUGACCUGAGAGUUCUAAGCUGAGGGGAAACUGAGGCUGAGAGAUGUCUGCUGCAAACACGUCUCCACCCACUAUGACCUGAGUGUGCCCCCGGGGCUCACUCUCCCCUGGCCUGCAGUGAUUUUUCUCUGGGUGUGCUGGAGAGUGGAGAUGGGAAAAGCUACAGUCUCUGAACCCAACUGAAACAGGCUGCCCUGCACUCUGGACAGACCGAUCCCUGGCAGUGGCAGGUGUAUGGAUCUGCAAGUGUGUGCAUGUACCUGAGCAUCCCACGGAGUGUGUGUGGGCUUGAGAGAAGGUACCCACCUUCUGUCAGCUAUCAGCUGACUUCACUUAAACAGCAGGGGAACAGAAGAGAGGAUGGGAAUGCUGGCUGGGACAUUCACAGACACCUUCCGAUCUGACUUACGCGCUCAUAUGCCAUGCCACACCUGCUGGGUCUGAACUGAUUGGAUGAAGACCCCCUUCCAGGAGGACUGGAGGCAUAUCAAGACUGGCUAUGACAUGGCAUCUUCGGUAUUCAGCAACAUAGAGUUCAGGAGACCCAGACUCUGAUGCUCAGGAUUCCAAUGGCAACAUAGCAGAAGGCAAGUGCCAGCCCCAGAGGUACCCAAGGAUACAAGGAGGCAGAAAACGACAGCAGAGUGCCCACAGGAGCAUGGAUACAAGAACGUACUGAGCUUCUAUCUCCUGCCCCAAGCACAUUCCUGAUCAAUGUCUGAGACAAAUUAAAAUGCUGUUCGUGAGCCCA
rnacentral:lncRNA from 1 species